CUGAUUUUUUCGAAUUGGAGCCGUGGAUAUUUGUUUCAUUCUCGCCAUGAUUGCUCGCCAUUGGGGUCACCGGAGGUCGAAGUAAGUUUUCCUCCUCUUUCUCUCUUCUUUCUCCUUCUUCCCGUGCCUCUGUGCGCGACUGCCGGCGAUGGGUGUCAUCGAUUUUUGGUCAGAGAAGAGACCCCUGUUUGGUCUCUUCUUCCUUUUGAUUUUUCGACGCCGGCGA
rnacentral:lncRNA from 1 species